GACGGGAUUGCCAAGGGGGUUUUGCAGUUUAUCUCUGUCAGGUCGGAUUGCACAGUUCCCGGUUGAAAGCACCGCAGAUUCAAGAGAGAGCAGGCUUUAACAACAAGGGAACUAAACUAAAUUAAUAAAACCAAAAUAUCAAAAUUACGACAAAAGUAGAAACAAACUAUGAACUAUAGUCUUUAUGAACUAGUUGUACAACGUUGGCAAUAAUUGUAACUUCGAAACGAUCAGCAGCAGCGAGCAAAGCUGUGGUUCAAAACAUUUCAAGCUAGGAGAGAGCGGAACCGAUUACGGCACCAUUUGUGCAUUGGUGCACUUUAAAAAAGUGACACGUCUUUGUUACGUGAACGUACAGUUUCAGCCAGAAUCGCAGGUAUGCAGAUUGCACAACGAAUAACUUGUCUGAUGUUGUAACCUUCCCAAAAUCAAGAUUUGAGUAGAACUAAGAUUCCUGAAAAAAUAUAUAUUAAAAGAAGAAAACCUUCCGAAAAGAAAAAUGUGUGGUUCUCUCCAAAGGUUGUUCAUAACAUUUUCGUGUGUUAUUUUUUUUUGUAUAUUUGGUAAAUUUACACCAUAGGAAAACACAAACUUUUUGACUCCAUUUAAGCAGCAAUAAUUUUAAAACCUAUAAAUGAUCAUGCUAUUUUGUUCAUGAAAAAAACAACAAAGGCUUUUAUUGAUAGAACGCGAUCAGAUUAGAAAUAAAUCAAAUAAACUCG